rnacentral:lncRNA from 1 species
UUACAAUGUUACAUGGAUAUCUCCUCGACGUUCACGUGAUCUUGUCGCCAAGAAGAAAAAAGAAAUAAAGCUGAAGGACAUUUUUUGAAUUUUGUCCUUCAUUCUUCUCUCAAAGCACAACAUUCGGCGGGGCAAGCUAUUUGAAGAUAUUUUUCAGCAUCUAGGGUCCCCGAUGCAGAAUAAAAGAGAAGCCGGUGAAUACAGCCCUGAUUUAUAGUAGAAUUUUUGACAGUCUCAAAAUUUCUCCAGAACGAGUGAAAAUAUUCUUAAGGACUUCAAAAGGCCACCUGCCAAGUUUCAUCGCAAUCUGACAUGUCUAAGGCAGUGCAGACAAAGAAAUUGUUUUGAAAAAAUUGAUCUCUAACACCCUGAAACGGACCCUAUAAUUGGAACCCUAUUAAUGGAGAGUCAAAUGGUUGCAGGACCAUCGCCAUUAGAUCUGACACAAUCGAAAACCUCUAUGGGUCAAAUUUCGGCUUAAACAGACGUUUCAAGAUAAAGUUAUGGGCAAAAGACUGAAAAAUGAGAGCUGCACCUCCCUGCACCAAUCUCCAUUAAAGAAUAUUGGUUUUUACAGUCAUGAACAAUAACUUUGAAGACUCAUAUCUCCUUCGUUUUAAGUCGAAUCGACCCCAAAUUUUGGAAGCAUGUUCGUCUCGUGAAGGCGAACAUUUUGAUAUGUGACACAGCCUGUGACGACACCCGAGCAGAGAGAAAAGCUAAAGAGAAGUUAGUGAUUCGUAAUCAAGGUUGCAGGAAAAUCAGCAGUAGCACGACCCACUCGAGUGGCCAUAUCACGUGCUCCAGUACCCGAUCGAUGCGAAACCAAUUGAAUUACGUGCGUAAGGUCUAGAGCUAUGUCUGGUCCGAACCUCGCGCGUGGUAAAUGAUUAGAUUUGGCGUACAAAGGUGUUAAAGUUUCUGCAAAAUUCCAGCUGUCGGAAUUCAAAUUCCGUCCAAUACCCAAAAAUUUUAAAAUCUUCGUUCGAAUACGAAAUCGGGCUGUGUUUGUUGCAAAUCAAUUAUGGUGGCAUGCUCAGUGCAAUUUAGCGAAGAAAUCACGAAAAUACAUCAAGACAUAAGCACGAUAUCGAUCCAAAGUUUUAAAGUUUCUUACGAAUUUCGAGUUGCAUGAUCGUGGCCAAAAAACACGGUUUGUGUUUCGAAGUUGGUAUCAAAUUGAUUGUUAUGCCGAGCCCAACGAGAAAACAAUUAUCUUUUGGCGAAACGGGCACCGGAGCCACCCUGAAUCGGGCUAGAAAAAUCGCACAUAUUCUAUGAGUGCAACAAGGACCGUUUUGAAAUUUUAUAUAUUGUUGGGAAGGGGUAAAAUCGGCAUUUUACCCCUAUUUAUUUAUAUAAUUUUUAAAUCAAAUAAAUUGUAUUUUUUAGUGAUACCCACUGCGACAUGCCGUUUUGCUUAAAAACCUUUACUUUUCUUUAUGCACCCUCACGUCCACCUGCUCCCUGUAUACCCUCGUGUCCACCUUCUCCCUGCAUGGUCACUCCCCCGCCGUGCACCCUCACGAGCAUCUUUUCCUCUUUUCCCAGUGGUCCCACGCGACCACCGUUUCCAAAACCUCCCUUUCACUGCCGUUCGUGACAAAACACCCACUUUCCCUUCUUUUCGUUGUUUUGUUUUGUUUCGAUAAACUUCGUUUCACUCCCCUCACGAUAUUUCGUUGAACCCAAAUAACCCAAUGAAACCAUCUCUCUCUCUCUCUCUCCUCUCUCUGUCUCUCCUAACCAAAGCACCUCUUCUCUAUUGUAAACAAUCUACUUUUUGUCAUUCACACAAAAAACCAGCAGCAAAUUUUUUCUCCCUUUUAACUAAUCUUCACUAUCUUCGUUUUAUUAUUAUUUUUUUUUGACACCAUCCCAUCUUAUUUUAUUUCGUCUAUCCUUUUCUUUUCAUUUUGUUCCAUUUUACUCCCUCCCUUUCAUUUAUUUCAUUCACUUCAUUUUACCCCUUUUGUUCUAUUUACUUUAUCUCACUUGUUUACCCCAUCAUACCUUAUUCUAUUUCAUUAUUUAUUUUAUUUUAAUGGUCUCAUCUCAUUUUAUUCUCUUCCAUCCCUUUUAUUUAUAUUUUACUCCAUUUCAUUUUAUUUAUUUUACUUCACUUCAUUCUAUUUUAAUUUAUUUAAUUCUAAUUCUAUUUUCUAGUUUUAUUUUAUUUUAAUUCAUCCAAGUUAUUUUCAUCUCAUUUUCCAUCACUGUUAUUUCACUUUCAUCUCUUUUGGAAGACCUAGUGAGAGUCAAGCUAGUCUUCACCUCCCCUCUUUCUCUCAUUCGAUCGUUUGACUAGAGGGCAGGUUGAGCCUUGUGCUCGCGCUAGUCUUGUCUUCGAACAGUUUAACUGUCGUGCCGGUCUGAGUCACCGUGCCCAGCUGCCAUGGCAAACUAGUUGUUGUGCCAGACUGGCCGGUGUGUUGAUUUUGUCGUUGAGUAGUUUAGCCGUCGUGUCGGUCAUCGUGCCCGUCUAGCUACCACGCUGAAUCAGUCGCCGCGCCAGUCUUGCCACUGUGCCAGCCUAGCCGCCUUGUCAAACUUCUUCUCUCAUUUUCACUUCUCUUAUCUCUUUUCUUCUCUUCUCUUCUCUCAUUCUUUUUCGUCUCUUUGGAAGGUUUAGCGAGAGUUAAGCUGACCUUAGCCUUCUCUCUUAUUUCUCCUCCUCUCUCUUUCAAGGACAAACACUUUCUUUCUCUCUAUCUUCCCCUUUUUUAUUUCUUUCUUGUAAAAUAUGUACCGAGAGUCCCUCGUCAAGAGGACAUCGUGAGGCUGUUGAAUUGAUACAAAUUAUCCUAUGUUCUUUUCUAUGUCUUUCUUGAGUACACACACGCAUGUGUGCACUCACCCUGUAAUAAGGUGGGGUCCUAUGACCCACACCUCGGUAUCUUUGAUGUGUGUGUGUGCAUUUGCAGGAAAGGAGAAAACAGGUCAAAGAGCCGAUUCCAAACCGGCCACAAGCCUGGGGGGCAUUCUGAUGUGAUCUAAGAGGACGCCCAUGCGAGCUAGCCCGAGUGUGUCACAGACCCACGUGAAGUAAGUCCCACCUCAUGACCUUAAUUCAUCUCUCAUCGUUUGGUACUCCUGCUCAUGUUUUCUUUGCACGGUUCUCGAGGGAGCGGUCUCAAGUCUCGGGUUCUCAUUGAAACUCUAGACACGUACAAUCAGGUCAUCCCGACCAGGGGGCGAGAUCAAGGCAUCUAACCUCUAAGGUCGUAGUAUUAAGGCCCAACACAUAAUUGUUAUAUGCAAUGACAUAUAAUAUAAGUUACAUAAUGCAACUUACACAGAAAUUAUGUAAUUUAUCUAACGUAAAUUGCAUAAUGUAGUAAUGUAAAUCCAGGCAAGAUCAAGAUGAUAGGUGCAGGUUUUUGUUUAUUAGAAAUAGGUCACGUCAAGACUAUAUUUAUCAUUUUUCUUUGGAAUUAAAGCAAUGAAUGUGAAAUUCAUUGCAAUGUUAACUCUUCCUCCAGAAUAAGAUUCCUCUAAUAAUUGAAAUUUAUCAUUGUUCGAGGUAUCCCAGAAAGUUUGAAAGAAGGCAAUAGGAUAUUCAUUUGGCCCAAGAGCUUUAUCUCUUCCAAGGUCAAAUGCUGCAUUUUUUAUUUUUUUGUUCUUCAAAUUUCCUUUCCAAUCACUUGGCUUGUUCGCGAGGUAGUCUAGUAAAGGGAAGAUCUUGGAUAGAAGGGCCAAGUUCACUUUCAGCCACAAAGGCCUUCUUAAAGUAGUUAACCACAACCUUUUCAACAUCCAGUCCAUUACCACAAUCUAACCCUUCAAUUCUAAGAUUUUGGAGAGUUACCUCUUUUUCUAGCAUUAGCAAUAACAUAAAAAAAUCUCGUGUUUGUAUCCCCUUCCUUGAACAAUUUCACACAUGAUCUUCGCCUCCAAUGAAUCUCUUUCAAUCUAAGCAAUUGCUUGUAUGAAGCCACCAAUAAGCUUCUAUCUCUGACUUGAUCUUGGGUUAGAUAUCCUCCCAUAAACUACAAAUUAUCUAUCUCCUCAAUGUGAUUUUUCGCUUCGCCAAUUUUUUAUUAUAGAUCCCCCAAAACGUUCCUCCUCCAAAUAAUAAUCUUUUGUUUCAAAAGUUGUAAUUUUUUUAUAAUUGAAAUCCCUUUCCAACUUUUAAUUUUUGUGUUUUUUCAGAAUUCUUCUACUAAGCUGAACAUAGAUCUCUCUGACAGCCAAGACAACUCGAAUCUAAAAAGGGAGGGUCCAAAUGAAAAUUCAUUAGAAUUAAGUAAAAGUGUACAUGAUCUGAAGAUAUUUUAAGAAGAGCUUUCACACUAAUACUUGGAAAUCGAAUAACAAUUUCAGAUGAAAUUAGAAACCUAUCCAACCUUGUCAAAACUAGAUCUUGCAAAUUAUGAUUGGACUGAGUGAAGUUAGCUCCAAUUGAAGGAAGAUCAAUCAAUUCAUGCUGCCGAAUAGAAUUUUCAAAAAUAUGCGUACAAGGAGAAAUAGGCGGAGAAGAUGAAGAUUCACUUGGCCAUCUAAUAGCAGUAAAAUCUCCAUAAACAAACCAUGGUAAAUUUAAAUUAACCUGGAUAUUAGAUAGUUCAUAAAAAAGGCAGUUCUUUCAUCAGCUCUGUUAGGACCAUACACCACAGAUAAACAUCAAGAGAAAUGGUCCUAAAGGCUCUUGAAACAAAAUAGAGAUGUGUCUGGGAGCAUUUUGGAUAGCAGACAAAACCAAUGAGUCCCAAAGCACCCAUAUACCACCUGAGGAGCUUGAAGCAUCAACACUCACAAAAUCCAAAGAUCUAUUUCCCCAAACCAAUCUAGUUGUGUGGAGGGUCGGGGCCUCCAUUUUAGUUUCCUAAAUCAGCAAGAGAUCAGGCCUUUCCUUUCUGCAAACCGAAAGUACAUCUCUCUUGCGCGAUUCGCUAUUUAGGCUCCUGAUAUUCCAACAUAGCACCUUGAUUUCGACAUAUAACCCUCUCUAUGGUUGGUGAUCCUCGAAGGACCAGCAAACAUUUGUAAAGUGGGCUCAAACUAGGCACGAGUGCUAGAGUUUACCUCUCCUUUGUCAUAGUUGAUGUGGCACACUAAAUUGUCAAGCUCUGUUUGGAGUCACCCUUUCUUUUAUUAAUACUAGCUAGAACACUUGCGAGUGUCUAAAAGUACAACUUUAUUCAUUAAAUAUACCCUAAUACAACCUAGGAUCUUCUCUUACAUACAAUUAUAAUGCUUUAUAAUACUAAAAAAAUAAAAUGCAUGAAGAAUCAAGAAAUAUGGAGCAAUUAGAAUUACCAAUUACCUUGCCUCUGGUUACCCCCAAGGACUUCGUACACCCCACACCAGGUCUCCUCCAUUAAUAGUGCACGAUAUCUUGGUCUAGCCUCAUCUCAUAACUAGGGAAGCCUAGGCGAAACCUCUUGAGAGUAUGACAUUGGGAUGGGACUUUGAUCAAAGCUCAACACGAGAGCAAAUCUCAAUGCACACAAGCUAGAGGUGUGCCACCCUUAUGGGUUGGGUGUGCCCUCCUUAGGGUUCUACCUUCUACAUAUUAAACCUAAGCUAAGUUGAGAGAGAGAGAGAGAGAGAGAAAGGCGUGACUUCCGAAGGAUUCAGAGAGAGAGAGAGAGAGAGAGAGAGAAGAGAGAGAGAGAGAGAGAAGGCUAGUAAAAAGGUGUAAAGAAAAGACCCCCCCAUAGAGAGUAUUUAUAGUAUAAAGGCUUUUUUAGGGUAGAUUUUUGCCAUCAUUAUGAGAUUGAAUCUUGACUUUUGAUCAUGGAGAUCUAUGGGGUGAAGAUAUAUCGUCCAUUCAUUCUUUAGAUAAGCCAUCAUGAUUAAAAAGAAUGAGAUGGAACCAUUAUCUCUCAGUUUCCAUAACUUUAUUCCCAUCAAUUAUUGUGUAGAGAAAAUAGUAUCUUUUUGCAUAUCAAUUUUAAUUAAUCUUUACACUUUCCUAUUUGAAAUUAAUCAAAAUUUUUAUAUAACAUUUUCCUUUAUUUUUCCAAUCAAGAAGGUGGCUUAGCACACGAGCCGCACAAAAAGGAAAGGAGGGAGCGUGGUGCUCCACACAUGGAGAGCCAUGUGGCCCCCACGUGCCCACAAAAAUGGAUUCGAAUAAUGGUGGGCCCAAAGUCCCAAUGGGGCCCCACACCUAAAUAAACUUUUUGAAAUAUUAAAAUGAAUUUUAGAAAACCUUUAAAUAUUUUAAUUUGCUCUCUGAUUAAAAUAAAUCCAAAAAAUUGAUUUUUCUCCAUUUAAAAAUCCCUUUUCAUUAAAAUAAAAUAUCCAGAGAGGUCUAAAAGUUUAUUUUAAUUAUCUAAAAUAUAAUUAAAUCAUAAUUAAACAUAUUUAAUAAGAUUUGAUGAGAAUUGGAUCUAAAAAGUUAGAAAUAUAACAAAUAUAUUGAGGAUUCCAUCAUUUAUAGAAAUCGUAUCUCACUACACCUUUUCAAACUGACCCAAAAGUUCUCAUGGCCCAUAAUCCUUCAAGGGGCUUAGGGACUAUCAAAGUCAACCAAUAUAUAAAGGAAACACGAUCCUAGUCCAUGGAUUACAUGUCACUCCCUGAGGACAAGUCUAUGCUCCAUUCCGACACUAUGCUCCAUGGGUCUUUCUAACACAACCCAGUAUUGUAGGGAGUCAUCUCUUUAGCACAUAUAUACAACACACACCAUCAUCCAAUUGACUGCUUCCUGGAUGACUAUCUAGUAUACAUGGUAUGUGAUGGUAAUGAUGAGGACUUUGGCCCUUAUCAUCACACACAUGAGUCACAUCCAAUCCCUUGGCCAACCGCCUUGGGCACAAUUGUAACCUUAGCAAGAUAACCCUACAUUGAAACCCUAAUCUGUUGUGCACAAAAUGCCCAGGGUAUAGGCUUUAGACAUCACCUUGAACCAUAGCUAGUUAAUGCUCAAGUUAUUCUUGCAUUUAUAAUGCCUCAUAGUCCAAACUGGACCACACUCCCACUUGAGCCAACAUAUCACUAGAUACGAUUUCAGUAAAUGUUCUCAUAAGGCCUUUAAAUGGCUAUAUAACCCCACCUUUGAAUGACCAUAUAACCCCAACACCUCCCACUUAGCCUUUGAAGGCCUUUCAAUAACUCACCCUCACUCUCUUUCCCCCAUUACAAUCUCAUUCUCAAGUAUUUCUCACUUAUUCUCUCUUAUGCUUAUUAGAUGACCUGACGAACUCUUUUGCCAUCAUUCCUUUCACUAAGGAUUCAUGUAUAUAGCCUUCGUGGAAGUCAUGAAGUCUCUCUUUUUGCUGCUUUGAUCUCAUUCGUAGUUUGUUUUUACGUCCUCAGUAUUAGCAGUAUGAAUCAUGGACUCAUUAUCGUAGAAGAUAUUUCACGCACCCUCAUCACAUGGGGUCAUAUCUUUGCAACUCAAGGAAGUUCUUUAAUCAAGUUACUUCUUUCAUUGCCCGAAACAAAGAGGAAACAAGAUUGUUUUACCUGUAUUGUAUACACUUAUUCUUUUUCCAGUUUCCAGACUGAGCACCCUUAACCUAUGGUGUCAUAUCCCCCUAAUAAUUCAUGACAUCUCUUUGAAAUUUUUACUGUCAUAUAUCAUACCCAUGACACGCUAUGGAACUAAGAAUGACCCUGAAAAUGCUUCGAAUCAAAGGAGUACACAAAUGUGACACAUUUCAAUUUACCGCAGAAUAGAAGAUGAAAAUACGAUCUCUCAACAGAGAAUUUCUCUCUCCAACUUUUUUAAUAUUAAAAUAGACUCAAAAGUAAAAAAUUAUAGUUGGUGACAUCCCCAAAUCACACCAUUCAGUGAACUGGUAACAUUUACGUCACAAUACAAUUCAUACAACAAAAAAUCAGGAUUAGAAUCCCUCCAUUAGAAAAAUCUUUUCUGUCAAUCCACAUGGAGCUUUUCCCUCAAACAUUUUCUAUUGAAAAUUAGACUCAAAACCAAAAUUUAAUAUCACAGUUUGAAUCCCAAAUAAUAUUUUUCAGAUGGAAAUAAAUAAGUAAUGUUCACGUCAUAAAAACAUAUCAGAUUAUAGAAAUUUAUGAUGACCCUACUCCAAUAAAAUAAUAUUGUUCUCUUCAUGCCCAUGGAGUUUCUCUCUCAAUUUGUUUUUGGAAAAUAAUCUCAAAAUGCAAAUAUAAAAACUUAGAGUGGACCUCAAAACAUUUUGUUAAGAAGGGACAUAAAAUCAUGACAUUUACGAUACAAAAAUAAUUUUUGGUGCGGAAAGCAACUUUGAGCACCUUUCAAUAGAAUAACCAUAUNNNNNNNNNNNNNNNNNNNNNNNNNNNNNNNNNNNNNNNNNNNNNNNNNNNNNNNNNNNNNNNNNNNNNNNNNNNNNNNNNNNNNNNNNNNNNNNNNNCUGUAGAGGUAAGGUGCGCCUUCAAAUUUUAUUAUGGUAUAUAAUUUUGAUAUAAUAUGUUCUUAGGAUUAUUUUAAAAUCUAUUUUUAUAUCUAAUUAUAAAAUUUUAAAUUUCAAAAAUGGUUAAAAUCAAGUAGAUCUAUAAACAUAUGAAAAUCUUGAAAAUGGAUGGUGUAGAUAAUAUGUUGAAAAAUGCACUAUUUGUGAGACUUAAAAUCUCUUUUUUUCAUAGUCAUACAUCUCGAUGUCGAGAUGAUCAAUUAAAGGGUUUUUCAACGUUAAAGCUACCUUUUCCGAUGGAUUUUUUAGGUGCAUCCGUAGCUCUACAGUAUAAGGUUGCAACCUUAUAUAAACGUUUUCCUAUAUAUAUAUACUAUAAUGAAUAGUAAAAUAGGUGGAAUGAGAGCCGUUAGAUCUUUAUCAUAUGGUUCAAAAUGCAUAUCAUUAUAUGAAUUUUGAUAUGUUUUUCUAAAAAUUGGAUCAUAAUGAAAUUUUAGAAGUAUAUACUUAAAAAUAGGGCACAUAAUUAAAAAAUAUAUAUAUAAUAUUUUUCAAAAUAUAAAAUGAUUGAAAUACCCCUGAAACAUUACGGUGGUAAUUGAGUUAUUUUAAAUUAUUUAAAAUAAUUUUUUUAUAUUUUUAUAUGGUGUUCAAUAGUGUUAUGUAUGUACGCCCAAAAGUUUAUCUUAAUCAGAUUUAUGAAAAAAAUAUUAAAAUUAAAACAAUGAUAUGUAUUUUGAACCACUCGAUGAAGAUCUGAAAACUGAGAUUCCAUCUACAUUACUAUUCAUUAUAGCUGCCUAGCUAUUGUUAGCUUUUUCCAUAUAUAUAUAUAUAUAUAUAUAUAUAUAUUGAAGCCUCCUCCCAUUAUAGCAAUAGGGAAAUUUAAUUUACAUGGAAUGAAAAAGAAAGAAGGCAAUCAAGAACAUGUAAAUGAAUAUGUUAAAAAACUUUAAGUAUGAAAAAUCACUGAAAAAUAAAAAGGAGUAAAUGUUGUACAAGAAAACAAUCAGUAUACUGAUUAGGAAAUAAUAGAUAUAAAAAAUGCUUUUAAAAUAGAAAACCUAGAAAUAAAUAAAAUUGAUUACAAAAGAAAAACUAGGCCUGUAACCUAAACUAGGAUGUAUUAUCCUAGACCUACUCCUGUAGAUCUUCAAAUAGAAGAAGACCUGGUAGCAAGCUCAGUCUCUUAUUCAGAAAGUUCAUUGUAAAUUGGAAUAUAGAUGGCUUUUCUGAAGCGCAAAUGCUUGAUUUAAUGAAGCACAUGACCAUAUAUGCUAUUGCCUGUAAAGCUAAUGGUAAUAAAGACCACGAAGUUACUAAGGCUAUUAUAUGUGGAUUUACUGGAUGGCUUCGACGAUGGUGGGAUUUUUACUUACACGAAUCCGCCUGAAAUCAGAUUUUAAAUACUAUUAAACAAUGGGUUGUUAAAAAAGAAAUAGGCCCAGGACAAGUUCAAGAAACCAUAGUAGAUGAAAGAAAUGCAGUAAGCACUUUAAUCUACACAAUUACACUUCACUUUGUAGGUAGUACUGCUCUUCUAGCCGCUCGUCAAAAGAUUUAUUAUCCAAUCUUCGAUGUCCAACCCUAUCUCAUUUUAAAUGGUAUAAAGAUGUUUUUUACUUGAGACUUUUGUCAAGAGAAGAUAGCAAAACAGAUCAUUGGAAAGAAAAUUUUAGUUUAAGACUUCCAAAUCUCUUUGAUGAAAAGGUCAAGACCAGACUUAAAAACAAGCAUAAUGGUAUUGUACCAUACUCACAAUAUACAUUUGGAGAAUUAUCAGCCGAGAUUUGCGCCGAAGGCCUUGCCAUGUGCAUAGAUCUCAAACUUAAAAGACAAUUAGAUAAACAAGGAAUGACAGGCAAAAAGGAAGUUACAGAUUUUUGUGAAUCUUUUGGUUAUAAUACUCUUUUACCAUCUAGUUUACAUUAUAAAGAAAACUCUCGAAGGGAUGAAAAGUAUAAGAAGUAUAAAUCAUCAUCGAAGAGGGACCAGUCUUCUAAAGCGAAAGGAACAUUUUAUAAAAAAUGUGUGAGAUGCUAAUCUUUUUAAAAAAAGGGAGAAAGAAAAGGACACGUUUGUUUUAAUUUUGGUAGAGUAGGACAUUAUAAAAACAAAUAUAGAGUAAAAAAAAAGAUUAAUUCCCUUUGAGUAUAGUAUCAAAAGACAAUUAUACAAUCUUCUUUUACAAAAAUUAGAAUCAUCGAAUAGCUCUUCUGAAUCUGGUGAAGAAAUGUUAAUCAGAGAAAUUGAAGAUGAAGAAUUAAUUCUUUCACGUUCUGACUCCGAUCCGAAUGAUGGUGACAACCAAAAUCAUGGUGAGUCUUGUCAAUGUAAUUUUUAUAAAGCCAUUAUUGAUAUGAAUGGGUUGAGUUUAGAUACUCUCCCAAAAGAAAAAAAAUCUAAUUAUCGAGCUGAUUGAUAAGUAACUAAGAAGGAAGCUUUAGUUCAAUACAUCAAUAUGGGAAAAAACAGUUCCAAGCAUUCCACUCCUAAGGCUUCUCUUAUUUCUACUAGAGAAGACUAUAGUUUUAUAGAAAUCUUGAGAUGCCUCUUUGAAGAGGGAGUCCCUCCUUUUAUAGACCCUUAUUAUCGGUGGACUUGAACUUGUUUGAAGUCCGCAUCGUGUCGGUGGACUUGAAUUAGUUUGAAAUUCGCACAAUAGAUUUUCGGUGGACUUGAAUUAGUUUGAAAUUCACACAAUAGAUUUUCGGUGGACUUGUUUUAUUUUGAAGUCUGCACAGUGACUGAAAAAUGCUAUAGUGACUGAAUAGUGAAAUUGCUACAUUGACCAUUGCUACAGUAAUUGCUACAAUGUUUUUUGUGAAAAACGUAAAUUUCUUUGUCUUUUUCCCUGUGAUUUUUCAGGUACUGUCGAGGCACGUGUCCUGGAUUGAUUGGAGUCGAACCGUCCCUUAUCUUGAACAAUAUUUUAACUUUAUUGUGAUGUGAAAGGUUCAAAGUACUCUGAAUCGAAGCCUUCUUCAUUCUAGUUUUCGUCAUCUGGCUGGGACGUAGACAUUUGUCUUCUCUUCUCGUAAGGCCAUUAAGUGCCUUCUUCUAAGCUCAACUUUGGAAAUGUGUUUUGUUUCUACUUGAUUUAAGUAGUCAAGUAAUUCAUCUGCUUCACUAGUAACAGUCAAAUUAACUGGGACAACCUUUUUAAGGGUGAUUUUAUUGGGGACAACUUGUAUGGUGGUGAAAAUAUCCCACCAUUAUAAACUUGUCUUUCAAGAUUUGGGAUAUAAUCUCACCUAUCAUUAUCAUCG